rnacentral:rRNA from 1 species
UACGUAGGGUCCGAGCGUUAAUCGGAAUUACUGGGCGUAAAGCGUGCGCAGGCGGUUUUGUAAGCCAGGAUGUGAAAAGCCCCGGGCUCAACCUGGGAACUGCAUUUGGGACUGCAAGGCUGGAGUACGGCAGAGGGAGGUGGAAUUCCACGUGUAGCAGUGAAAUGCGUAGAGAUGUGGAGGAACACCGAUGGCGAAGGCAGCCCCCUGGGCUAACACUGACGCUCGAUGCACGAAAGCGUGGGGAGCAAACAGG